rnacentral:rRNA from 1 species
AGUGAACGCUGGCGGUAGGCCUAACACAUGCAAGUCGAACGGCAGCACAGUAAGAGCUUGCUCUUGCGGGUGGCGAGUGGCGGACGGGUGAGGAAUACAUCGGAAUCUACUUUUUCGUGGGGGAUAACGUAGGGAAACUUACGCUAAUACCGCAUACGACCUACGGGUGAAAGCAGGGGAUCUUCGGACCUUGCGUGAUUGAAUGAGCCGAUGUCGGAUUAGCUAGUUGGCGGGGUAAAGGCCCACCAAGGCGACGAUCCGUAGCUGGUCUGAGAGGAUGAUCAGCCACACUGGAACUGAGACACGGUCCAGACUCCUACGGGAGGCAGCAGUGGGGAAUAUUGGACAAUGGGCGCAAGCCUGAUCCAGCCAUACCGCGUGGGUGAAGAAGGCCUUCGGGUUGUAAAGCCCUUUUGUUGGGAAAGAAAGGCAGCAGGUUAAUACCCCGCUGUUCUGACGGUACCCAAAGAAUAAGCACCGGCUAACUUCGUG